rnacentral:rRNA from 1 species
UACGUAGGGUGCGAGCGUUGUCCGGAAUUAUUGGGCGUAAAGAGCUUGUAGGCGGUUUGUCGCGUCUGCUGUGAAUUUCGGGGCUCAACCCCGAACUUGCAGUGGGUACGGGCAGACUAGAGUGUGGUAGGGGAGACUGGAAUUCCUGGUGUAGCGGUGAAAUGCGCAGAUAUCAGGAGGAACACCCGUGGCUAAGGCGGCUCUCUAGUACGGUACUGACGCUGAGACGCGAAAGCGUGGGGAGCGAACAGG